CCUACGGGAGGCAGCAGCGGGGAAUAUUGGGCAAUGGGCGCAAGCCUGACCCAGCAACGCCGCGUGAAGGAAGAAGGCUUUCGGGUUGUAAACUUCUUUUCUCAGGGACGAAGCAAGUGACGGUACAUGAGGAAUAAGCCACGGCUAACUACGUGCCAGCAGCCGCGGUAAUACGGAGGUGGCAAGCGUUAUCCGGAUUUACUGGGUGUAAAGGGCGUGUAGGCGGGACUGGAAGUCAGAUGUGAAAACCACGGGCUCAACCUGUGCACUGCAUGUGAAACUGUAGUUCUUGAGUACUGGAGAGGCAGACGGAAUUCCUGGUGGAGCGGUGAAAUGCGUAGAUAUGAGGAGGAACACGAGUGGCGAAGGCGGUCUGCUGGACAGCAACUGACGCUGAGGCGCGAAAGCGUGGGGAGCAAACAGGAUUAGAUACCCGAGUAGUC
rnacentral:rRNA from 1 species